AGUGAACGCUGGCGGCAGGCCUAAUACAUGCAAGUCGAACGGCAGCACGGCAGAGCUUGCUCUGUGGGUGGCGAGUGGCGGACGGGUGAGGAAUACAUGGGAAUCUGCCCAGUCGUGGGGGAUAACGUAGGGAAACUUACGCUAAUACCGCAUGCGCCCUUCGGGGAAAGCCGGGGACCUUCGGGCCUGGCGCGAUUGGAUGAGCCCAUGUCGGAUUAGCUAGUUGGCGGGGUAAUGGCCCACCAAGGCGACGAUCCGUAGCUGGUCUGAGAGGAUGAUCAGCCACACUGGAACUGAGACACGGUCCAGACUCCUACGGGAGGCAGCAGUAGGGAAUAUUGGACAAUGGGCGCAAGCCUGAUCCAGCCAUGCCGCGUGAGUGAAGAAGGCCCUCGGGUUGUAAAGCUCUUUUGUCCGGAAAGAAAAGCGCCGGGUUAAUACCCUGGUGUCCUGACGGUACCGGAAGAAUAAGCACCGGCUAACUUCGUGCCAGCAGCCGAC
rnacentral:rRNA from 1 species